rnacentral:misc_RNA from 1 species
GUACACAAAGGACUGAAACUGGAGAAGGAAGAUCCAUCAUCAGUCAAUCAAUCAGAGUGAGAAUCAUGGUAGUAGUCACCAAGAUCAAGGGAGGAGGAAGAGGAGGGAGAAGAGGCUAAAGUAUGAGUAAGAUAAGGUUGAUCAUCGUCUUCUGAAGAAGAGGAGUAAUAAGAGUAAGGGUAGAAGGAAUCAGGAGGAGGAAGGCAGAGAAAAGUCCAGAGCCAAAGAGCAAAACUACCCAAUUGCUG